rnacentral:lncRNA from 1 species
GUUCCUGGAGAGCUACCCUCCUGUAGGUUCAUACUCCAACCCUGUUCCUGGAGAGCUACAGUCCUGUAGGUUUUCACUCCAACCCUGUUCCUGGAGAGCUACAGUCCUGUAAGUUCAUACUCCAACCCUGUUCCUGGAGAGCUACCGUCCUGUAGGUUUUCACUCCAACCCUGUUCCUGGAGAGCUACAGUCCUGUAAGUUCAUACUCCAACCCUGUUCCUGGAGAGCUACCGUCCUGUAGGUUUUCACUCCAACCCUGUUCCUGGAGAGCUAUUGUCCUGUAGGUUUUCACUCCAACCCUGUUCCUGGAGAGCUACAGUCCUGUAAGUUCAUACUCCAACCCUGUUCCUGGAGAGCUACCGUCCUGUAGGUUUUCACUCCAACCCUGUUCCUGGAGAGCUACCCUCCUG